rnacentral:lncRNA from 1 species
UCUGCAACGGCUUCCCACACUCUUAUGGGUUUGCAAUUCCUUUAAGCUCCUCCAAUCCUUCCGCCAGCUCACCCACCAAGGUCACGGAACUCAGUCUGAUGGUUGGCUCCAAGUAUCUACAUCUGCAUUGGUCAGUUGCUGGCUGAACCUCUCAAGGAGCAGCCACACCUGGUUCCUGUCAGCAAGUGCCUUGACAAGUGUCAGCAAGUGUCCGGUUUGGGUUUGACGUCUGCACACAGGAUGGAUCCCCCGGUGUAACACAGAUUUACAGUGCAGGGAUUAAUUGGAAGUUACAAGUUCCAGCGAAGCCUGUUCUUGAGGAAACACAGUCUUUGUGGACUCACAAGAGGAUGUAUUCAACUUCCCAGCUCACUGAUUUGACAGUAAAGGAUUCUUGGGUGGCAUUUCAGAGCAUAGAGAUGACCCUAGAACACCUCUGCUCCCAACCCUGCCCCUACCCCCUGCUGAAGCCUCUGUUUCAAAGUCCUACCUUGGUUUCUUCGCAUGAUGCACAAUAAACUGACAUAAACCACUUCUUUCCAA